rnacentral:rRNA from 1 species
UACGUAGGGGCAAGCGUUGUCCGGAAUUAUUGGGCGUAAAGAGCGCGUAGGCGGUCCGAUAAGUCGGCUGUGAAAGUCAGGGGCUCAACCCUUGAAAGCCGGCCGAUACUGUCGGACUAGAGUCCGGAAGAGGCAAGUGGAAUUCCCGGUGUAGCGGUGAAAUGCGCAGAUAUCGGGAGGAACACCAAUGGCGAAGGCAGCUUGCUGGGACGGUACUGACGCUGAGGCGCGAAAGCGUGGGGAGCAAACAGG